CAAAAACAUUCAGCUUUGAUAUUAAUGAGUUUUUUGGGUUCAUUGAGAACAUGGUUGUUGUUCAAUAAUAAAAUUAUUCCUCAAAAAUACAACUUGCCUAAUAAUUCUGCACUCCCUAUACUAGGUCUUAAAGGGUUAAUGUCAUUAACAGCAAAGCAGCUGAAACUGAUGCUACUUAACUGAUCAGAUCAAUAUCCCAGAAGCUCGUCUGACUUGAUGCUAUGCUAUCCUUUAUGUAUUUAUUUUUUAUAAGAAAGUAGGAGAAAAUCCAAACUGUCAAAGGAAAAAGAAUGAAAAAGUGGCGCAGUGGCCUUUAGUUCGCUCUUUCAGCCUUGCUUGGUUCACUCCUGCCGUUUGUAUCAUAGAUUUAUUAUCACAGCGCGUGCUGUGUUGCUUUGUAAUUUCAUCUGGAAAUGAUUGGCGAUGCUUGCGGAGAAUGUUGGAAUAUUUCCUGUGAUUUAGCAAAGGGACGAGGACUCGUUAUCUGGAGAAAAGGUGAGUAAACGCUGUUAAAAGCCGACCGAGUCUCUGCAUCAUCACAAAGCAGAAGCAGGGAGGAACAUACAGCAUACUGUACAUUACCACUGAGACAGCGCUACAGACACAACCUUUAAAACAAGAAUAUCUCACUUUAAUUUGCGAGAGGAUGCGCGAGCUGUGUACUAAAGUUAUCUUUCCAGGAAAACGGAACAUUCUUGCAUGAAAGAAACAAACUGAAGGGAAAAAAUGCUCCAAAUCCAACCACUUCAGAAAGGACUGAUAAAUAAAUGCAUGCUGACAAACACAAAUGCACAUAUGCACAUCUUACACGUUAUCUAAAAAAAAACCAAAAAAACCCCCUGUUGCAUUACAGGCUGAAAAACAGUGAAAAAGUUCCCAUCUUUAAAUUACUGUGUGUUUGGAAUACAGGUUCAUCAUCCUGUCAGUGGCAGCUCUGCCUCAACAACUGGUCAAGGUGUACUGCCCGUAGGUCAUUAUCAGUCUGCACUACCACCUCAGAGCCCCCUUUGCCUACAACUAAUAGGACAGAGCAUGCAACACGCACAUUAUGUGUCAUGCUCAAGUAUUUUCAAGCACUGAAAUCUGUCCUUUAAUUGUAAAGUGAUCACUUUAUUACCAGGUCUUGUCCCAGCGAGAGCUACAUUAUGAUGCAUUUGUGCACCUGAGUAAGUGUUGGAGUCGUUAACAAUGCCUGGAGGUAUAGCUUGUUUCUCCAACCAAGUUCUUGCCACGAUGACUUAUGGAGCACAUUAUUGUUUAUUAAUAGGAAGCAGACUUCACCCCGAUUAUUUGGUUUGCACAGGCAUGAAUGCGUUCACCACAUUUCCACAGGCUUAGUGGGUAUUGCAGGUUUUUAUAUUAGCUGCUUCAAAGCUCCAAAGUCCCCUCUUCUGGGAGCUGACGAAGUCGU
ensembl:lncRNA